CACGUAGGCGGACUGCUAAGUCAGGGGUGAAAUCCCUCGGCUCAACCGAGGAAUUGCGUCCGAUACUGCAGUGCUUGAGGGAGACAGAGGUAAGCGGAACUGAUGGUGGAGCGGUGAAAUGCGUUGAUAUCAUCAGGAACACCGGUGGCGAAAGCGGCUUACUGGGUCUCUUCUGACGCUGAGGUAACAAGCGUAGGGGAGGCGAAGG
rnacentral:rRNA from 1 species